UUCAGAUUUGCCUAUGAUACAGAGACAUGGAUAGAAGACUAGAAUACUGUGCUGGGUGCUGCUGAAGUACAGAGAAGUUAAGCAACUUUUGAGAGGUCACACAGCUGUCAUGGGAGAGUGGGUUUUGAAGCCAGGCAAUCUGACUUCAGAGCUUACUUGCGUGCUGCCUCUGUGCAUGUCCCUGGAAUCUGGCCCAGCGCCUGGCACACAGUCAAGGUCAACAGAAGCUGGGUCCCUUGCCAAGAUGGGGCCUUGCUGGAAGCUGCAAUAUCAGUCAUGUAAUAAUCAGAGCCAGUGUGUAUCAAGUGUGCAUUAUGCUGAGGCUCGAAGUAUCCUGUAAUGUGUUUACCUUCAUGGCAGUUCUCUGGGGUAAGUGAUGUUAUUGUUCCCAUUUAGCAGAUGGGGAGACUGAGCCAGGUCUUUGACAGUUAAACCAUGAGUUGAGU
rnacentral:lncRNA from 1 species